GGUAGUNCACGCCGUAAACGAUGAGUGCUAGGUGUCAGACCCUUUCCGGGGUUUAGUGCCGCAGCUAACGCAUUAAGCACUCCGCCUGGGGAGUACGACCGCAAGGUUGAAACUCAAAGGAAUUGACGGGGGCCCGCACAAGCGGUGGAGCAUGUGGUUUAAUUCGAAGCAACGCGAAGAACCUUACCAGGUCUUGACAUCCCUCUGACCGCUCUAGAGAUAGAGUUUUCCUUCGGGACAGAGGUGACAGGUGGUGCAUGGUUGUCGUCAGCUCGUGUCGUGAGAUGUUGGGUUAAGUCNNNCAACGAGCGCAACCCCUAUUGUUAGUUGCCAUCAUUCAGUUGGGCACUCUAGCGAGACUGCCGGUAAUAAACCGGAGGAAGGUGGGGAUGACGUCAAAUCAUCAUGCCCCUUAUGACCUGGGCUACACACGUGCUACAAUGGCUGGUACAACGAGUCGCAAGCCGGUGGCGGCAAGCUAAUCUCUUAAAGCCAGUCUCAGUUCGGAUUGUAGGCUGCAACUCGCCUACAUGAAGUCGGAAUCGCUAGUAAUCGCGGAUCAGUACGCCGCGGUGAAUACGUUCCCGGGCCUUG
rnacentral:rRNA from 1 species